UGCCAGCAGCCGCGGUAAUACGUGGGGUGCAAACGUUGCUCGGAAUUAUUGGGCGUAAAGCGCGCGUAGGCGGCUUACUAAGUCGGAUGUGAAAGCCCUGGGCUCAACCUAGGAAGUGCAUUCGAAACUGGUUCGCUAGAGUCUUACAGAGGGUUGUGGAAUUCCCGGUGUAGAGGUGAAAUUCGUAGAUAUCGGGAGGAACAUCAGUGGCGAAGGCGACAACCUGGGUAAUGACUGACGCUGAGGUGCGAAAGCGUGGGGAGCAAACAGGAUUAGAUA
rnacentral:rRNA from 1 species